CGUGCAGGUGGUUUGGUAAGUUGGGUAUGAAAUCUCCUGGCUUAACUAGGAGAGGUUGCUCAAAACUACCAGACUAGAGGACGAUAGAGGAAGGUGGAAUUCCCGGUGUAGUAGUGAAAUGCGUAGAUAUCGGGAGGAACACCAGUGGCGAAGGCGGCCUUCUGGGUCGUUCCUGACACUAAGACGCGAAAGCAUGGGUAGCAAACG
rnacentral:rRNA from 1 species